CUACGUGCCAGCAGCCGCGGUAAUACGUAGGGUGCGAGCGUUAAUCGGAAUUACUGGGCGUAAAGCGGGCGCAGACGGUUACUUAAGCAGGAUGUGAAAUCCCCGGGCUCAACCUGGGAACUGCGUUCUGAACUGGGUGACUAGAGUGUAUCAGAGGGAGGUAGAAUUCCACGUGUAGCAGUGAAAUGCGUAGAGAUGUGGAGGAAUACCGAUGGCGAAGGCAGCCUCCUGGGAUAACACUGACGUUCAUGCCCGAAAGCGUGGGUAGCAAACAGGAUUAGAUACCCUGGUAGUCCACGCCCUAAACGAUGUCGAUUAGCUGUUGGGCAGCAUGACUGCUUAGUAGCGAAGCUAACGCGUGAAAUCGACCGCCUGGGGAGUACGGUCGCAAGAUUAAAACUCAAAGGAAUUGACGGGGACCCACACAAGCGGUGGAGCAUGUGGUUUAAUUCGAUGCAACGCGAAGAACCUUACCUACUCUUGACAUCCAGAGAACAUUC
rnacentral:rRNA from 1 species